AUUGAACGCUGGCGGCAGGCCUAACACAUGCAAGUCGAGCGAGCGGCGGACGGGUGAGUAAUGUAUGGGGAUCUGCCCGAUAGAGGGGGAUAACUACUGGAAACGGUGGCUAAUACCGCAUACUAUCGGAUUGCCCCAUAUGGGAUUAGCUAGUAGGUGGGGUAACGGCUCACCUAGGCGAGUAUCCCUAGCUGGUCGGAGAGGAUGACCAGCCACACUGGAACGGAGACACGGCCCAGACUCCUACGGGAGGCAGCAGUGGGGAAUAUUGCACAAUGGGCGCAAGCCUGAUGCAGCCAUGCCGCGUGUAUGAAGAAGGCCUUAGGGUUGUAAAGUACUUUCAGCGGGGAGGCGUUACCCGCAGAAGAAGCACCGGCUAACUCCGUGCCAGCCGCCGCGGUAAUAC
rnacentral:rRNA from 1 species